rnacentral:rRNA from 1 species
AAACUGAAGAGUUUGAUCCUGGCUCAGAUUGAACGCUGGCGGUAUGCUUAACACAUGCAAGUCGAACGGAAACGAUGGAAGCUUGCUUCCAGGCGUCGAGUGGCGGACGGGUGAGUAACGCGUAGGAAUCUGCCUGAUAGUGGGGGAUAGCCCGAAGAAAUUCGGAUUAAUACCGCAUAAUCUCUACGGAGUAAAGGGGGCCUCUAUUUAUAUGCUUUCGCUAUCAGAUGAGCCUGCGUAAGAUUAGCUAGUUGGUGAGGUAAAAGCUCACCAAGGCAACGAUCUUUAGCUGGUCUGAGAGGAUGAUCAGCCACACUGGGACUGAGACACGGCCCAGACUCCUACGGGAGGCAGCAGUGGGGAAUAUUGGACAAUGGGCGCAAGCCUGAUCCAGCAAUACCGCGUGUGUGAAGAAGGCCUGAGGGUUGUAAAGCAC